rnacentral:rRNA from 1 species
AUUGAACGCUGGCGGCAGGCCUAACACAUGCAAGUCGAGCGAGCGGCGGACGGGUGAGUAAUGUAUGGGGACUGCCCGAUCGAGGGGGAUAACUACUGGAAACGGUAACUAAUACCGCAUACUAUCGGAUAACCGAGAUGGGAUUAGCUAGUAGGUGGGGUAAUGGCUCACCUAGGCGACGCUCCCUCGCUGGUCUGAGAGGAUGAUCAGCCACACGGGGACUGAGACACGGCCAAGACGCCUACGGAGGCAGCAGUGGGGAAUAGUGCACAAUGGGCGCAAGCCUGAUGCAGCCAUGCAGCGGGUAUGAAGAAGGCCCUAGGGUUGUAAAGUACUUUCAGUCGGGAGGCGUUACCGACAGAAGAAGCACCGGCUAACUCCGUGCCAGCAGCCGCGGUAAUUC